rnacentral:rRNA from 1 species
GGUGCCCCGGGGGCGUGCGCCGGUCCAAGUCCCUUGGAACAGGGCGUCACGGAGGGUGAGAAUCCCGUUCGCGGCCGGGGCGGCGCGUCCCCGCGCGGGGCCCUUUCGACGAGUCGAGUUGUUUGGGAAUGCAGCUCCAAGUGGGUGGUAAAUUCCAUCUAAGGCUAAAUAUCCGCCAGAGACCGAUAGCGCACAAGUAGCGUGAGCGAAAGAUGAAAAGCACUUUGGAAAGAGAGUUAAACAGCAUGUGAAAUUGUGGAAAGGGAAGCGCUUGCGGCCAGACUCGACCGCGCGCGGCCACCCGUCCUGCGGGGCGGGGCACGCGCGCGCGGCCGGGCCCGCMUCGGUUCGGGCGGCCGGACAAAGGCCCGGGGAACGUGGCUCCUGCGGGAG